AAAUUGAUAUAGCCGGGCUUGAAGCCCUAACACUUGAGCAAAACAAUAACAAAAAUACCCACAGCUCCUCAAUAUCUCGACAGCGCCUCACUCUCUCUCUCUCUCUCUCGACACAGACACAGACCCAUAACCAAAAGUCCAAAACCCACAACUAUGAACUAUCAGUGCCUCCUCAUUUCAACCAUAUCUCUCUGUUCUACACGGUGUAGAAAUCCAUUAGAUCUAAAACCUAGACCUCUCUCUUCUCUCCUCUUUCCCUCUAUCUUCUACCCCUAGACCCCAAAUCCAUCAUUUUGAAACCUUGGACCUCUCUCCUCUCUCCUCUCUCCUCUCCCCGACAACUAAAACAGUUUCCGCCUCAUAGGAUUGAUGGUGAAUUCAUCCCAUCACUAUCGCUUCAAAACAGACCGGAGAGAGCCUAGAUUGGAAACCCUCUCUUCUCCAAUUCUUCGAGUCCUCUUUCUCUUACAUAAUCCAAGGCGGUCUCUCUAUAUAUGAGCAGAAGAACAAGAAGCUCGAGCUCCUUCGACCCCAUGAACGGGUCAAGAAGAUCGAGUCGGUGACAAGUGACGAAGAAUCCCAUCGCAGCGGUGCCGGUGAAAGUUGAUUGCCUCCCGAAAGAUGAAACAGCUCGGAUUUUGGUCAAAGGAACUUAAUUACCUUCCAGAUUACAGCUUUCAUUAAUCUCUCCUUGUCUCAGUGGGGACCAACCUCAUUAAUCAGUUCACUUUAGAAAAGCUAGCACUCUCCAGAAAGAACUCAACCUCAUUAAUCUCUCCUUGUCUCAGUGGGGACCACAAGAAGUUAGAAGAUGAGCAAUCCAGGUCAUGUUGUUCAUGAAGAAGAAGAUGAUGACCAAGGCGAGGUUUACAUUGAUGAAGCUGACAUCCUUAACGAAGUCGAUUUCGAUGAGGAAGGUGCUCAGUUGUUCUCUCUCUCUCUGUAUGAAUUAUGUAUACUAUGUUUGUUAAGUUCUCAAUCAUGUGUCCAGUUAGCAACUAACUUUAAUUCACAUAGAUCCACCCUUCCUUGUAAUAUAAUGUAAUUUCUACUUACAUCAACUAGUUCUCUAUUGGGUGUUUCAACCUUAAUUCGAGAUAUAUUGUCUGAUGCCAUUAACUAAUGCCUGACAGAUCAGGCUUUCUGAUACUUGCUUCGAACUUGUAAUUUAGUACUGAAAAGUUUCGUCUAAUCUUUCUCCGUUUAUUCUGAGUUGUGUUGAUUAAUAUCACUUAUUAUUCCAACAUCUGCAUCUUUACAUGAGUCUGUAGCAGAGACUUUUUUUAGGAGAAUCUCUUCAAGCUGUGUCUCUUAACUCAUUGAGUUCAAUGCUUUUGUACUCGUGCCUUAAUAAUUGUGUUUGUAGUUUCCUUGGGCUGCAACAGGAGGUAUGGAUAACAAGCUUAUCAUCUGGGAUUUGCAACAUUCGUUGCCCCGUUCUACAUGUGACCAUGAGGAUGGAGUGACAUGCUUGACCUGGCUUGGGGUAUCUAGGUACCUAGCAACAAGUUGUGCGGAUGGGAAGGUCCGAUUAUGGGAUACUCUCUCUGGUGAUUGUGUAUGAACCUUCAAUGGGCAUAGUGAACCCAUUCAGUCUCUCUCUGUAUCUGCCAACAAGGACUUCCUUGUUUUAGUAUCUACUGAUGGAACCGCCCGAGUUUUUGAGAUUGAAGAAUAUAAGCAAGCAAUAUACCCUUCAUAGUUGGUAACAAGGAUGGCCUUGGAGUGAUAUAGUACUUUUUUGUAUAAACAAUAUGAAUUACAUGCUUUUUUUAUGGUAUUUGAGCAUUCUUAUGGUACUCCUUUUGUAGAUGAAAGAUUACAUUUGCACAAUCUAUUUUGGUGCAUGAUGUGAAUUAUAGCAAUUUCUUCUAUAUAUUGACCAGCUACUGUUAAUUUGAUCA